rnacentral:misc_RNA from 1 species
AAAGUCGUAACAAGGUAACCGUAGGUGAACCUGCGGUUGGAUCAUUAAAAAUAAAGGAUGAAGGCGUUUGGGGAACUGCGCUUCUGUCCGGACGUGGCUUCCGAGUGCCAGUAGAGCGAGGUUCAGAAGGGUGCCAGUGGAGCGGCCCAUGGGUGGUGCCGGCAGAGCAAGGCUCUGAAUGGGUGCCAGUGGGAACGUGCCAUGCGUGGUGCCAGGGUGAGCGGGGCUCAGAGCGCCAGAGGAGCCGUGUCCCGGGGAUGCGCGAUUCCACCAAACGGGUUGGUUCUUUCCACCUGUCGUGUUUUUUCUUUUUUUUUUGUUUUUGUUUCUGCAAAAAAAGCAAAAAUAAAACAACUUUUGGCAACGGAUCUCUUGGCUCUC